rnacentral:piRNA from 1 species
GUGGGACUAGAGGUAUGGGUAAU